UGUAGGUCUGAGUGUAGUGUUUUUCACAACUAGUUAAUCACAACCAGUUACAGAUUUCCUUGUUCCUUCUUCACUUCCAGUGUUUCACUUGACUAGCAAAAG
ensembl:Y_RNA Y_RNA Y RNA